rnacentral:rRNA from 1 species
CCUACGGGAGGCUGCAGUGGGGAAUAUUGCACAAUGGGGGAAACCCUGAUGCAGCGACGCCGCGUGAGUGAAGAAGCGUUUCGGCGCGUAAAGCUCUGUCAGCGGGGAAGAAACACGGUUCGCGAAAGCCGCGGACGGUACCCGACCAAGAAGCCCCGGCUAACUACGUGCCAGCAGCCGCGGUAAUACGGAGGAUGCGAGCGUUAUCCGGAUUUAUUGGGUUUAAAGGGUGCGUAGGCGGACAGUCAAGUCAGCGGUAAAAAUGCGGUGCUCAACGCCGUACAGCCGUUGAAACUGGCAGGCUUGAGUGGGCGAGAAGUAUGCGGAAUGCGUGGUGUAGCGGUGAAAUGCAUAGAUAUCACGCAGAACUCCGAUUGCGAAGGCAGCAUACCGGCGCUCAACUGACGCUGAGGCACGAAAGCGUGGGGAUCGAACAGGAUUAGAUACCCUAGUAGUC